rnacentral:rRNA from 1 species
ACCGUUUCGGCUUUUGUUGGUUUUAAAAGUCCAUUGGAGAUUAUGGGGCAGUGUGACAAGCGGCUGGGUGAUUCCCCCUUCAAUGGGGGCACUCGUCGCCUUUGUGGGAAAUCAGUGACGGUAGUGCUGCUGUAUUGUUUGCUUGUGCGUAUGUCUGGACACCUUUUCGGUGCUCAGGCCGACGUACGGCGCAUUACACACACUGCCAUCGCCUUCCCUCAACUCAUGGCAUCCAGGAAUGAAGGAGGGUAGUUCGGGGGAGAACGUACUGGUGCGUCAGAGGUGAAAUUCUUAGACCGCACCAAGACGAACUAC